GACCUCGGAUCAGACGUGAAUACCCGCUG
rnacentral:rRNA from 1 species